UACGUAGGUGGCAAGCGUUAUCCGGAAUUAUUGGGCGUAAAGAGCGCGCAGGUGGUUGAUUAAGUCUGAUGUGAAAGCCCACGGCUUAACCGUGGAGGGUCAUUGGAAACUGGUCGACUUGAGUGCAGAAGAGGGAAGUGGAAUUCCAUGUGUAGCGGUGAAAUGCGUAGAGAUAUGGAGGAACACCAGUGGCGAAGGGGCUUCCUGGUCUGUAACUGACACUGAGGAGCGAAAGCCAGGGGAGCGAACCGGAUUAGAUACCCCGGUA
rnacentral:rRNA from 1 species